ACAGUGCGUUCUGAACUAACGGGUACGUGACACCGCCUUCCACUUCAUCCCGCCAAUGCCAUUGACAUACAAAAGCUUGUUUAAUUUCUGAUCCAGGCCUAUUUGUCUUGGCUUUCACGCCCAGUUUCAUAAACAUUUUCAACAGCUCAAUGAUACCUCACGGAUCUUUCUCUGCACCCCAACUUGGCAAUGUCCAAAUGCUACAUAAUCCUUUCUCAGACCCAUAUUAUCCCAUCAGACAACAGAGCAGGAGCACACUUGAAGGUUACGUUGGCUUCGGGGCACUGUAAAAUUGGGCCCAGCUAAGCGCAUAAUGGUUUUGGCCACUACAUUUUGCUUCUAGUGUUCAGAUUGAGCUUUUAAGCGCUCUCAACGGUGCGGCUUUGGUUUGCAUUAAGGAGUGAGUAAAUAUUUGCUUGAUCAUGCCGCUGGUAAGAUAUGAGAUACGAAAUGAGUACAGUUUGGCGAAGCCUGAGUUGUACAGGUCAGCAGGGAAGGAUGAGUCUGAUGUGUUGCUGGAAGGGGUCGCCAUGGCUGGGCUUGUUGGGAUACUGCGCCAGCUCGGCGACUUAGCCCAGUUUGCUGCUGAAAUCUUUCAUGACGUGCAUGAAGAAAUGAUGGCAACUGCAGCUAGAAGUCAUGGACUUAUAAUUCGCAUACAACAACUUGAAGCUGAGGUCCCUUCAAUUGAAAAGGCAUUGAUGGCUGGAAACCAAGUCCGUUUUGCACAUACACUGGGCAGUGACUGGCAGGCGAGUAUUCCAAACCAUCAUAAUCAUCUCACUUACAGUGAAUUGCCUUGCUUUAUACGGAAUGCCUAUGAAGAAUGUAGAGGGCCACCCCGGCUCUUUACACUGGACAAGUUUGAUAUUGCAGGGACUGGAGCUUGUUUGAAAAGGUACACGGAUCCUUCAUUUUUCAAAACAGAAUUGGCCAGCUCUGAACUCAGGAAAGCAGAAAAUGCUCAAAGGGACAGAUAUACAGCCAGAUUGAAGAAAAGAGUACGGAGGCAAAGGAAUAGUGAAACUACAGAAGUUUCUGUGACAUCCCAACAAAAUUCUAGGAUUCAUUGUUCAGUGUUUGAUGUAGCCGAUCCAAGGUGUGCCCCUGGAAACCAAUGUUAUACUGCUAAUCACAUAUUAGAGUCGAAACAGCGAAAGAAAUUCCCUUCAGCAGGAAUGAUUGAAGAAGAUCAGGCCAAAGAUGAUCUUCCUAUGGGCCAAGUUACAGGAUUUCAGUCAGUGAAUAUUAGUGGCAAGGAGACAAAGGAGAGGAGAAUGUGUUGUGGCAUCAUUCAAACAGAGGAAAAGUUUGUAUUUGUCAAUAGAGAAAGGAAGAUACAAGCUGAAGAUGAUUUGGGUUCAUUUGAAGAUUUUGGAGGUGAGCCAGAGAAUUUUGUUGAUGCUCUUACCACCAUGGAAUCAGAAAUAGAAAUAGAUUCUGAGUGCCAAAUUAAACAGGAGGUAAAUUCUGACAUCAUUUCUGAGCAUAGGGAAACUGGAUCUCUGGCCUAUACAAAAUCAUACGAACAGCCAGUACGAUACUCUGUUUUUCGGGAUACGCAAUCCCUGCACACUGCCAAAUCUUCUAGUGGUGUUGCAAAUACUAAAACAAGCACACCCUCAGAAGGUAGUGUGGAGCAAUCUCUGAUUCUUGCUUCUGUCCAUGCAUCUCCACAGUCCGGAGAAAAAGGAUCAGCGGUUGAUCUUGACAGUGACAAUGAGGCCAACAUGGUUGCAAGUAGUGUCUCCUCAGAAUGUGGUAAUGUUGUGUGGACAACUGAUACCUCCAACAUGGAAGCAGUACACGAUCAUGAUAAUGUCACACUUUUGGCUCCUGCUUUGGAAACCAUGGCUACUGUAAAGAACAAUUUUUUUCAGACACCUGAUGCUGUUAAGAACCAUUCGUCCUCUUUUGCAUUUUCAAAUACAGAGUUAUCUUCCAGUCUUGGUCGUGUCCAUGUGCUGACAGAUUGUAGGGAGAAAGACUCAACAGCUGAUCUUGACAGUGGUAAUAAUUGUAACACUGUUCGGACAACUUAUUCCUCCACUGAGAUGGUACUGGAUGAUCAUCUUUAUAAACCAUUUGCUGCUACUGCAUGUGAUGUUCCCAUCACAAGCACAAGUCUUUUUCAGAAAUCAGAAGCUGCACUGGACCGUUCAUCCUCUUUUGCUUUUACUAACUUUGAAUCAUUCAAUGGUUCUCUAAAUGCUACACCAUCUGCCUGUUUUGAUAGUGGAGAUGCCUUUUUCAGAUUUGUCACGCCUGAGUUAUCCAUCAUGUACAAUGAUGCAAAAUUUGCAUCAUCAAUUAUAAUUGAAGAACUUGGUGAUUCACAACUUUCUUUCAUAUCUGGAUCUUCCAACAAAAUCAAAUCAUUAUCUGUCUCAGAAGCUUCCAAAUAUACAUGUAAUGAGGAACUUGAAAGUUCUCUUAUUCCUUCCAUACCUCCAGAUGCUGGUGAAAAUGAAUUAGAAUCUUGCUCUGAUUUGUCUGAGUUUGCUUCUGGUCUUCACAAUGUGCAAGGUGAUCAUUUGUAUCCUGACUUAGAAAUUGAUGAUGUGAAAAGCGAAAUGCCUAGUGACUGUGUUUCCUGUGAUAAGACUUAUCCUAAACAUGAAAAUCCGUCUACCACAUUAGCUGGAUCCAUAUCUCCUCAAUCAGAGAUUGAAGAAACAUUUAUAGAAUCUCCAAUUGGAAACUUACAUAGUAAACAUUCUACUGGGCUAUGUGCAUACUUGUUUUCAGAUCCUAUGAAUGAUAAAGCUCUUGAAUCUAGCAUUGAUGUUGAGACAGUUGGUAAUCGAGUGCUUGAUGUUUCAUCAUCUGAUGAUGUUCUUAAAAUGAAACCUGUUCACAUGUAUGAAGGUUCAUCAGAUAGUUCAGUGGUAAUAUCAACAGCAUCAAAUCAUAGACAUUUUGAGUUUUGUCCUGAGUUACAAAGUUUUCAAGUUUCUGUAAAUUACACAUCUAUUCCAUUACCUGAAAAUAGGGAGUUUUCAUGUGACAUGUUGGGAGAGAAGCCAAUCAGUAGGUUUCAUAACUCAAAGGUAGUUGGUACUGUCCUUGAAAAUAAUUUGAUUUCUGACUUUCCCACAAAGGAUAUUUCUGUAGAUAUGAUUCAAGCUGAGCUUGCUACUGUUGGGCAUAUUAAUUCAGAUUCUGGGCUUACCUCAUCAAACAAUGAUUGCCAUGAAAGAUCAAUAAAUGUAUUCAAGAAGGAUGAAACUGAAGCGUUUGUUGUUGCAGAUUCUCCAAUUGUUAGUUGCUCUACCAUGUCUCCCAUUUCCAUCUUUCAUUCUAGAUCUCUUGUGGAAUCUGCUAAUACUGGGUCAAACAACCUUUCCAGCACUGAGAUAAAGACAAGUCUCCUUGGUGAGGUCCAUACUGGAAGGAUUCAUGAUGUGCCUUCUGCAAGCUCUGCUGGUAAUAUUCUCCUUGAUGAUCAUCCCCACAAGGAAUCUGUCACUAAGAAUUCUAGUGCUGGCCUUCAAAGCCACGGUGUUGACGAACAACAUUGGGGCUAUGCAAAAGAAGGGUCAAUCUCAAGCCUUGGUCAUAUUGACUCACAGGGUCAUGAUCUAUCGUCUUCCCUUCAAGAUCAGACAGAUAUUUCCUUCUCUCAGCCUGCUAUAGGAUCUCCUCUCCAUCUUCUCUUCACUAGGAGUGACUAUUACCCAGAAAAUUUGAGUCCAGAAAGAAGUUCAUGUAAUAUAAGAAUCACCAAUCUGUCACCUCUCUGUUUGUUGCCAGAACCUGUGAUUCCACUUGAAAAGGAAUUGGAGGGAAAAGAUACUGCUGAUUGUACUUCUCUUGCAUCAAAUAAUCUUGAGAAAUCCUCUCAGGCUAUCAUAGAUGAAAUGCAGUCCUUAAAGUUGUCAUAUACAGCUGAUGGUUCUGAAGGUGGACAUCAAAGAAGCCAUGUGGCACAUUCUUCAGUCUCAUUUAGUGACCAUUUUGUGGAAUCUACUACUGAAUCUGCAGUGAUCCCUGAAAUUACCCUGAGUGCUAAUGAAAAGCUUGGGUCUUCAAGAAUUCUGUUAACUUCUUUAUUGACAAACUCAUUGAGUUCAAGUGAACCCAGAAGUUCAAUACUGAUGAAUCUUGAUGAUGGCAGUGGAGAGGCAGGAGAUAACAGCAACUCCUUUCAACCAUCUCCAAGGCCUUGGACAUCCAUUAGGCUUUCAUUGCCUGCUUCUCAGGACAACAACACUCAUGAUGUCAUUUUUGGUACAAGUCAGAUGAUGAAUCAGUAUGAGUCGGUAGGUUCUGAAGAUUUAGUUUCAAGUUCUUUAAUUACAGAAUCUAAAAUUCCAGAGAACCUUUCACAGGAGACACCACCACCACCUCCACUCCCUCCUUUGGACUGGUGGAUAACGAGACCCCAAAAAGUAUCAUUAACAUCCAUUGAAUCGGCUGUACCUCUUGCGCCGCCUCCUCCUCCAUCAAAGCUCAGUUGGCCUGCACAGAAUUCACAAUCUCAGAAGACUUAUAUUGAAAGGAAUGAUUCACUCAUAAAGUCCAUCGCAUCACAUGACAAAAGCAGGUUGAGGAAAGUUAUACAACAAACCCAGUCAUUAAAAGCCAAACCAUUAACUGAAAGAGAGGAGUUACUUGAGCAAAUACGGAAUCGGUCUUUCAGCUUGAGACCGACAGUUACAAAAAAGCUUGAAAUCCCUAGACCAGCAACAAGUAUUAAUGUCACUGCUAUCCUGAAAAAGGCCAGUGCCAUUCGAAAGGCUGUUGGAAGUGAAGACGAUGAAGAUGAUGAUUGGAGUGAUGCUUGAAUUCUAAUUCAUGGGUUGAGUGAUGAAUAAGAGGAGGAACCGAUAGUAGAGGGUGGCAAUGAGUUAGAUGCUGAAGAUUUAGGAGAUACUCAACCUACCAUUUCUUGUCACAUGCUUGUUAGAGUGAGUGCACUACAAACUCUCAAGUCUUUUAUGUAGGCAUGCUUUUUGGAAGCCUUCCUUCAAAAUGACUGGAACAUUUAUAAGGUUGCACAAAAUGUUUCAAUGUUCUUGAUGGCAAUUUCAUUGGAUGAUGAUGGCAUGAUUCCUUAUGACAACAGGAGUUUCAUUGGUGGACAAUUAAUUCAGAACUGCAAAUUCUUCCAUGUAAUGGUAAAGUCAUUCAUAGUAGAAAUUCUUACUCUUAAAAUCUGGAGUGGAAUCUCUAAGUGGAACUGUGGAGCUAUAAAUAUCUCUGUACAUGGGAACACAAAAAUGCAGUAAACAAAUUGUGACAUCAUUGUGGCACUCCUAUUGCUCUCAUUUUGGACUGCAACUGUUAGUGCUGUCUUGCUGACAGGAGACUAUCGUGUCUCUGGUGUAACUCUAAUCAGUGUCAAGGAGAAGUUUGGGGAGAAGUUACCAGAGAAUUGAAACGCUGUUUGUUAUGAGUAAUGAAAUGAUUAUAGUUUAGCACCAUGAGGAUUUUAAGACUUGGAAGGAACGGUACAUUUUCUGUAGCUAGAUUAUAAGAUGCAGGUCUUCAGUUCUAUCUCAGAAGCCUGUUAAAUUUUGGAAGUAAUCUUAUACUGCUCAUCAUGAAAGUUGCUGUUUAAGUGCUUUUCAAGGUCUGCAAUUAUUGGAGGAGAAGCAACACAAUUUAACAGCUCAAGGGAUGAUUCCUUUUUGCAUGUAAAAACUGGUUAUUAUGAAAGUUUUGGUAUCUGCAACAGAUUUGGGAUUCCUAUCAAGAAUGUCUUCCGAGCUACUGCUUGAAGCUGUGGUCAUGUCCAUGCAAUAUUUCUGGAGUUCUGUUCUGCCAAACUUCUUCUCCACUACAGACUAAUACGAUGCCCUGUGUAACCCAUAUCACUUGUAAAAUGCUAUCUCCCUGUCUAAAUUAAUCUUUUUGAAAAGAAA